GGGGGGGAUCUGUGAAAGCACACAGGCUGGAGAGGGGAUCCCAUUGAUCAGCGGGUAGAGAAACUCUUGCAGCUAAGCCUGAGAUUUGUGAACAGGUCAAGGAGACUGAAACCAGAGCUGUUUGGACUCUCAUUCUGAUGCCACACAUUCACUGCAAAUGAUCCUUUGGU
ensembl:lncRNA